CUAGAAUGCAACAAAAGAAAAGAACAAGAAGAAUAAGAAGAAUAAGAAAAACAAGAAUAAGUAGCAGGAGUAGGAGUAGUAGUAGUGGCAGUAUUAGUAAUAGUUGCCCUAAUAGUAGCAGUAGCAAUAUUACCAGUAACAAUAGCAGCAACAGUAGUAGUAGUGGUAGUAGCAAUAGCAGUAGUAGCAAUAUUAGUAGUAGCAGCAGU
rnacentral:lncRNA from 1 species